GUACUACUCUCAGAGUUUGAUCCUGGCUCAGGAUAAACGCUGGCGGCGUGCCUAAUACAUGCAAGUUGAACGGAGAGCUUCGGCUCUUAGUAGCGAACGGGUGAGUAACACGUAGGCAACCUGCCCUGUUGACUGGGAUAACUGAUCGGAAGGUUAGCUAAUACCGGAUAAUAACAUGCACCGCAUGGUGCAUGGAUGAAAGUUGGGAUACAACACAACAGGAUGGGCCUGCGGCGCAUUAGCUAGAUGGUGAGAUAGCAGCCCACCAUGGCAAUGAUGCGUAGCCGAUCUGAGAGGAUGUACGGCCACAUUGGAACUGAGACACGGUCCAG
rnacentral:rRNA from 1 species